GAUGAACGCUGGCGGCGUGCCUAAUACAUGCAAGUCGAGCGAACAGAUAAGGAGCUUGCUCCUUUGACGUUAGCGGCGGACGGGUGAGUAACACGUGGAUAACCUACCUAUAAGACUGUGAUAACUUCGGGAAACCGGAGCUAAUACCGGAUAACAUAUUGAACCGCAUGGUUCAAUAGUGAAAGGCGGCUUUGCUGUCACUUAUAGAUGGAUCCGCGCCGUAUUAGCUAGUUGGUAAGGUAACGGCUUACCAAGGCAACGAUACGUAGCCGACCUGAGAGGGUGAGCGGCCACACUGGAACUGAGACACGGGCCAGACUCCUACGGGAGGCAGCAGUAGGGAAUCUUCCGCAAUGGGCGAAAGCCUGACGGAGCAACGCCGCGUGAGUGAUGAAGGUCUUCGGAUCGUAAAACUCUGUUAUCAGGGAAGAACAAAUGUGUAAGUAACUGUGCACAUCUUGACGGUACCUGAUCAGAAAGCCACGGUUAACUACGUGCCAGCAGCCGCCGUAA
rnacentral:rRNA from 1 species